rnacentral:rRNA from 1 species
CCUACGGGAGGCAGCAGUGGGGAAUAUUGCGCAAUGGGCGAAAGCCUGACGCAGCGACGCCGCGUGAGGGAUGAAGGUCUUCGGAUCGUAAACCUCUGUCAGCAGGGAAGUACGGUCACUGUGCUAAUCAGCAGUGAAUUGACGGUAUCUGCAAAGGAAGCACCGGCUAACUCCGUGCCAGCAGCUGCCGUAAUACGGAGGGUGCGAGCGUUAAUCGGUAUUACUGGGCGUAAAGCGCUCGUAGGCGGUAUGUCAAGUCACGGGUGAAAUCCCCGCGCUCAACGUGGGAACUGCCUUUGAAACUGGCAGACUGGAGUGUGUGAGAGGAUAGUGGAAUUCCAGGUGUAGGAGUGAAAUCCGUAGAUAUCUGGAGGAACAUCAGUGGCGAAGGCGACUAUCUGGCACAUAACUGACGCUGAGGAGCGAAAGCGUGGGUAGCGAACAGGAUUAGAUACCCCAGUAGUC